rnacentral:rRNA from 1 species
UACGUAGGGUGCAAGCGUUGUCCGGAAUUAUUGGGCGUAAAGAGCUCGUAGGCGGUCUGUCGCGUCUGCUGUGAAAACUCAGGGCUUAACCCUGAGCUUGCAGUGGGUACGGGCAGACUAGAGUGCGGUAGGGGAGACUGGAAUUCCUGGUGUAGCGGUGAAAUGCGCAGAUAUCAGGAGGAACACCCGUGGCGAAGGCGGCUCUCUGGAACGCAACUGACGCUGAGACGCGAAAGCGUGGGGAGCAAACAGG